rnacentral:rRNA from 1 species
UAGGGAAUCUUCCGCAAUGGGCGAAAGCCUGACGGAGCAACGCCGCGUGAGUGAUGAAGGUCUUCGGAUCGUAAAACUCUGUUAUUAGGGAAGAACAAAUGUGUAAGUAACUAUGCACGUCUUGACGGUACCUAAUCAGAAAGCCACGGCUAACUACGUGCCAGCAGCCGCGGUAAUACGUAGGUGGCAAGCGUUAUCCGGAAUUAUUGGGCGUAAAGCGCGCGUAGGCGGUUUUUUAAGUCUGAUGUGAAAGCCCACGGCUCAACCGUGGAGGGUCAUUGGUAACUGGAGAACUUGAGUGCAGAAGAGGAAAGUGGAAUUCCAUGUGUAGCGGUGAAAUGCGCAGAGAUAUUGGGGAACACCAGUAGCGAAGGCGACUUUCUGGUCUGUAUCUGACGCUGAUGUGCGAAAGCGUGGGGAUCAAACAGG